rnacentral:misc_RNA from 1 species
CCCUGCCUCUCCAGACUAUCCUCUCAUCCAAAAGUGGAAAGGCGAGUAAGUUCACUAAUCAUCAUCCUCAGUUGUUGAGGCAAAUGAGAAAGGUUUAAACUUGUAGCCAUCACCAUGGUAGAACUUAUUUUGGAAUUCCACCCAGUGAAGACGCAAUGCAUGCAGGAACGCACUGAGCGUUAUGAAGGCAGUGGCAAAGGCAAAAACUGCAAGCCCCACUAACCGGAUGAUGAUAUUAUCAUAC